ACGAACGCUGGCGGCGUGCCUAAUACAUGCAAGUAGAACGCACAAUUUAUACCGUAGCUUGCUACACCAUAGACUGUGAGUUGCGAACGGGUGAGUAACGCGUAGGUAACCUGCCUGGUAGCGGGGGAUAACUAUUGGAAACGAUAGCUAAUACCGCAUAAUAUUGAUUAUUGCAUGAUAAUUAAUUGAAAGGUGCAAUUGCACCACUACCAGAUGGACCUGCGUUGUAUUAGCUAGUAGGUGAGGUAACGGCUCACCUAGGCGACGAUACAUAGCCGACCUGAGAGGGGGGGGGGCCACCGGGGGACGGGGCCAGGCCCAGGGCUCCUAGGGGAGGGCGCAGGAGGAAAUCUGCGGCAAUGGAGGAAAGUCUGACCGGAGAACCCCGGGUGGGGGAAAAAGGUUUUGGGAUCGUAAAGCUUUUUUUUAAGGGAAAAACGGUUGUGGGGGGGGAAAUUUCACCCUAGGGGGGUAUUUUACAAGAAGAGGAGGGCAACUUCCGU
rnacentral:rRNA from 1 species